GACGAACGCUGGCGGCGUGCCUAAUACAUGCAAGUCGAGCGGACGGAUGGGAGCUUGCUCCCAGACCGUCAGCGGCGGACGGGUGAGUAACACGUGGGCAACCUGCCUGUAAGACUGGGAUAACUCCGGGAAACCGGGGCUAAUACCGGAUAACUCUUUCCCUCACAUGAGGGAAAGCUGAAAGAUGGCAUCUCGCUAUCACUUACAGAUGGGCCCGCGGCGCAUUAGCUAGUUGGUGAGGUAACGGCUCACCAAGGCGACGAUGCGUAGCCGACCUGAGAGGGUGAUCGGCCACACUGGGACUGAGACACGGCCCAGACUCCUACGGGAGGCAGCAGUAGGGAAUCUUCCGCAAUGGACGAAAGUCUGACGGGGCAACGCCGCGUGAGUGAUGAAGGUUUUCGGAUCGUAAAACUCUGUUGUCAGGGAAGAACAAGUACCGGAGUAACUGCCGGUACCUUGACGGUACCUGACCAGAAAGCCACGGCUAACUACGUG
rnacentral:rRNA from 1 species